rnacentral:rRNA from 1 species
GGGUUGUGAGGUUAAGCGACUAAGCGUACACGGUGGAUGCCCUGGCAGUCAGAGGCGAUGAAGGACGUGCUAAUCUGCGAUAAGCGUCGGUAAGGUGAUAUGAACCGUUAUAACCGGCGAUUUCCGAAUGGGGAAACCCAGUGUGAUUCGUCACACUAUCAUUAACUGAAUCCAUAGGUUAAUGAGGCGAACCGGGGGAACUGAAACAUCUAAGUACCCCGAGGAAAAGAAAUCAACCGAGAUUCCCCCAGUAGCGGCGAGCGAACGGGGAGCAGCCCAGAGCCUGAAUCAGUGUGUGUGUUAGUGGAAGCGUCUGGAAAGGCGCGCGAUACAGGGUGACAGCCCCGUACACAAAAAUGCACAUGCUGUGAGCUCGAUGAGUAGGGCGGGACACGUGGUAUCCUGUCUGAAUAUGGGGGGACCAUCCUCCAAGGCUAAAUACUCCUGACUGACCGAUAGUGAACCAGUACCGUGAGGGAAAGGCGAAAAGAACCCCGGCGAGGGGAGUGAAAAAGAACCUGAAACCGUGUACGUACAAGCAGUGGGAGCACGCUUAGGCGUGUGACUGCGUACCUUUUGUAUAAUGGGUCAGCGACUUAUAUUCUGUAGCAAGGUUAACCGAAUAGGGGAGCCGAAGGGAAACCGAGUCUUAACUGGGCGUUAAGUUGCAGGGUAUAGACCCGAAACCCGGUGAUCUAGCCAUGGGCAGGUUGAAGGUUGGGUAACACUAACUGGAGGACCGAACCGACUAAUGUUGAAAAAUUAGCGGAUGACUUGUGGCUGGGGGUGAAAGGCCAAUCAAACCGGGAGAUAGCUGGUUCUCCCCGAAAGCUAUUUAGGUAGCGCCUCGUGAAUUCAUCUCCGGGGGUAGAGCACUGUUUCGGCAAGGGGGUCAUCCCGACUUACCAACCCGAUGCAAACUGCGAAUACCGGAGAAUGUUAUCACGGGAGACACACGGCGGGUGCUAACGUCCGUCGUGAAGAGGGAAACAACCCAGACCGCCAGCUAAGGUCCCAAAGUCAUGGUUAAGUGGGAAACGAUGUGGGAAGGCCCAGACAGCCAGGAUGUUGGCUUAGAAGCAGCCAUCAUUUAAAGAAAGCGUAAUAGCUCACUGGUCGAGUCGGCCUGCGCGGAAGAUGUAACGGGGCUAAACCAUG